GAGGACUUCUGCUGGGUAGACCUGGUAAUGCAAGAGGAGAUGAAAUAAACACAAAGCAUCACUGGUGUAUCCUUUUUUUAAAAUAAUAAUAAUAAUAAUAAUUAUUAUUAUUAUUAUUAUUAUUAUUAUUAUUAUUAUUAUUCACUGCGUUUUACAUCUGCACAAAAAAGCUGAGCUUUCUGUGAUGUAAUAAAUAGUUUCCCCAACUUCUGUAUGACCUUUCUUUCAAUUCCGUUUUUGUGAUGACAGAAAAAUAGUGCUAAUAUUCUGUCUCUCUGGACCCUGUACGAACUAUUUAAUUGUGGUAAAUGGGUGGGAUAACUGAUUGAUUUUUUUUUUUUUUUUUUUUUUUUUUGCUACUUAAAGACAAAGCCACCUAGACUAAGAUGAGUCUAUUUUACUAUUUUUAAUAAUUUAGGUUCCACGGGUAAGAGCAGUGUGAACAGGGACAUGGAUAUUUAAUAAAGUAUCAUUUUAAUUCACCCUCACUAUAAUCAGAUAAUACAUAGGUAUCUCUGAAUAAGACAUAAAAAAUGUGCGUGCUUUCACCAGCGCUUGGAGGCAACGAACAAAAACAAAAGAUCCAGGAAACCUUGGUGUCGCAGCAGUAGGCUAUUAUUACUGCGACAAUGAGACGCCUAGGCUACGUGGGGCUGUGUGAGGACACAGUGUGUGAUAAGCUGGAUUCGGGAAGCUGCAAGAACAAAACUGACCACAGCGAUGAACGCAAAUCGGAGUUACUGGUGACAGAAGAACCAACACAAAGCUCAGAGAGCAAUGGUGACACAAGAUCACAGGUGAAAUUGGAUGAUGACUUGGAUGAUCUUCAGUGGAUCAAAAGUAGCCCUGGCAUGGUUCACCUCUACAUCGAAGAUCAGACAAAGGAAGGACAGAGUCUGAUGGUUGUCUAUCGACAAAGGAACUAUGCCUUCAGCAAAGAAGGAAACAGACAAAGACAUGUCUAGAAAAAUAUAUGUUCAUUUCAACAUACAGAAAAAUGAAGUCUGCAGUCUGUGCUUAUAGUUUCACAUCUUUUUUUGCGUGUAUGUGUGUGUGUGGUUUAUUUCCCAGAUGGUAUUCCAGUCUCGGGUUUGAAACCACAGAAGCUCGCACACCCUCUUUGUAUCUUCAUGGUGUAGCUUUUGACUGUUUAAAACACGAUGUGUUUAAACUUCUGCUGCUGAUGCCGUAUUGUCGCGGGACUUCGUACUCGCAAAAAGUCAUGAACUACAACAUCGUAAACCGAACAAAAGGUGUUAUGCAUGAGCAGCUGUCAUCGGGGGGUGUCAUCAACCUGACCUCUUUUGGAUUAGUUAAUGAUUAUUUGUUUAUUAUGUAGUCGAGUUGUUGCGUGACACCUCGCGUGUAGCCAUUUUUUUUUAAAUGACAGAAAAAGCUGUAUGCAAAAGACCUCGCUAACGUGUAACUCAAAGCUGCUUUGUUUCAGUGAAGCCAAUCAUGUUCUUCUACUAUGUUUUGGACAGCAUCACUACAUAAAGUUAUUUUGUGCUUUUUUUAUUAUAUUAUACUAUAUUAUAAUUUCCUAUACUUUAUCUAGUCAUUAAUGUCGGUAACUGCACUAACAGCUGCAGGUCAUUUUCACAGGUGUUUGAUUUCAAAGGACUAAGGAAACAUUGUUGUAUUUCCGAACUCCCAUUGAACUACACUUUUAUACGUUUAUCAGCACGUUGGAGGCCAUAGCAGCUGUCACAGGGUGAGAGGUGGGGUACAUUCUGGAAAAACUGUCAGAAGCUUUUAAGAUAACUGUAGAUUUUGGAAUCACCUGUAAUUGUUUCUAAUUGAUUGCACAUUAGAAGCAGGUGAGUGUUAACAUAAAUGUUCAUUUAUACAUUUUUUGUAAUAAAGUGGAAUAAAAACACAUACUGGAGUCUUGUGAGAUUCAGUUUUUCAUAUUGUGACUUGUGAGAUGCUGUUUGUGGAUAUAGCUGUCUCUGCCUCUCUGCUGAAAAGUGAAUAAUUGUGCAGGUAUUCCUUCAGUUGUUUGGAUGAAACCUCAGUGAAUCAUUUGAAAGGCGUGAUUAUUGAUGC
ensembl:lncRNA